rnacentral:rRNA from 1 species
AUUGUGCAAUAUACGUCAGUAUGACACAGAGAGCACACAUCACACUUAGCCUGUCAAAUUAAGUGCCAGCAGACGCGGUUAGACUUAAGGGCUAAGCCUUUAUAGGAAAAAAGGCGUAAAGGGUGUGUAGGCCGACAAUUCCCCCCCAAGGUGGUAAAUGGAAUUUUUCUGUAACGGUAGAAUGUGUGGAUAGAAAAUAGAACCCCAAAGGCAAAAGCAAUUUACCUCGGGGAACCCAAGCACAGGCUGAAACACGAGGGUGUGGGGAACAAACAGGAUUAGAGACCCUGGUAGUCCACACUGUAAACGAUGAAGAAAAUGUUAAUGCAACCCCGAAAGGUAGUAAUCUUCCGCCUGAGUAUUACGAUCGCAAGAUUAAAAUUCAAAAAAUUUGGCUGUUCACUGUUUCGAUUAGAGGAGCGUGUAGUUUAAUUCGAUAAACCGCGAGAUACCUUACCCAAACUUGAAUCACCCAUCCGAGAUUGAAUGGUCUCGGGAGGGUAGACCGGUAUUGCAUGGCCGUCGUCAGUUCGUGUAUGAAACCUUUAACGGACCUAACCCGGGGGGUUAGCCGCGGAUGAAGUCAGGUCUUAUGAUCCCUAUGUUUGGGGAUAAUAUGCGCUACAUUUUCUUAUACAAUGGGAAACCUGAAAGGUGAAACCCCAAAGUAGGAGUUCGGUAGGUCAUUGUAAGAUGACCGAAAGUUGAAUUUAAUAGUAAUCGGAAAGUAGAGCGUUCCGGUGAAAUGAUCUAAGUGUUAGCACAAAUCGCCCGUCACCUUAACUUAGAACGAUAGUACGGACGCAGCCCUGCCAGCUCGCAAUGUCGAGGCCCCCCCUCGAGGGG